AGGAACUGUAUGAGAUGAAAAUCUCACGUACGGUUCUGGAACAGAGAUUCUUUUAAUUGAAUUGCGACCGUAAC
rfam:Erythranthe guttata cultivar DTN x IM62 scaffold_9_contig_12, whole genome shotgun sequence.